UACGUAGGGCGCAAGCGUUGUCCGGAAUCAUUGGGCGUAAAGAGCUCGUAGGCGGCCUGUCGCGUCCGCUGUGAAAUCCCGGGGCUUAACCCCGGGCGUGCAGUGGAUACGGGCUGGCUGGAGGCAGGCAGGGGAGAGCGGAAUUCCCGGUGUAGCGGUGAAAUGCGCAGAUAUCGGGAGGAACACCGGUGGCGAAGGCGGUUCUCUGGGCCUGUACUGACGCUGAGGAGCGAAAGCGUGGGGAGCGAACAGG
rnacentral:rRNA from 1 species